GACGAACCGUGCGAACGUUAUUCGGAAUCACUGGGCUUAAAGCGUGCGCAGGCGGUUCGUGAUGUCUGGUGUGAAAGCCCCGGGCUUAACCUGGGAAUUGCAUUGGAAACUAGCGGGCUGGAGUGUGGCAGAGGGGGGUGGAAUUCCACGUGUAGCAGUGAAAUGCGUAGAGAUGUGGAGGAACACCGAUGGCGAAGGCAGCCCCCUGGGCUAACACUGACGCUCAUGCACGAAAGCGUGGGGAGCAAACAGG
rnacentral:rRNA from 1 species